rnacentral:rRNA from 1 species
CCUACGGGAGGCAGCAGUGGGGGAUAUUGCACAAUGGGGGAAACCCUGAUGCAGCGACGCCGCGUGGGUGAAGACGCGCCUCGGCGCGUAAAGCCCUGUCAGCAGGGAAGAAAAUGACGGUACCUGAAGAAGAAGCCCCGGCUAACUACGUGCCAGCAGCCGCGGUAAUACGUAGGGGGCAAGCGUGAUCCGGAUUUACUGGGGGUAAAGGGGGCGCUGACGGGGCUGCAAGCCAGGUGUGAAAGCCCGGGGCCCAACCCCGGGACUGCUCUUGGAACUGAGUGGCUAGAGUGCAGGAGGGGCAGGCGGAAUUCCUGGUGUAGCGGUGAAAUGCGUAGAUAUCAGGAGGAACACCGGUGGCGAAGGCGGCCUGCUGGACUGCAACUGACGUUGAGGCCCGAAAGCGUGGGGAGCAAACAGGAUUAGAUACCCGAGUAGUC